rnacentral:RNase_P_RNA from 1 species
ACGUUCGGGUAAUCGCUGCAAGGAGCUUUGCAACUUGUAGAGGAAAGUCCAUGCUCGCACGAGCUGCGAUGCUCGUAGUGUUCGUGCCUAGUGAAAUCAUAAGCUAGGGCAGCUGGGUCUAGCAUCCAGUUGACGGCCGGGAAAAUACCUAAGUCCAUUAGGAUAUGGUAUGAAUACCUAUAAAAGUGCCACAGUGACGUAGCCUUUCUAGAAAUAGAAAGGGUGGAACGGGUAAACCCCACGAGCGAGAAACCCAAAUUAUGGUAGGGGCGCUUUCUCUGAGGAAUUGAACGAGGAGAAGGACAGAUUCUUUAUGAAUCUGUAGAUAGAUGAUUACCACCUAAGUACGAGACUAACAGUCGCUUGCAGUACUAUGGUACAGAACAUGGCUUACAGAA